GAGCGGGGUAGCUCUUUACCUACGAGCGGGGUAGCUCUUGACCUAUGAGUUUGAGUUAGAGUCGGGGCGAAGAGCGGGGUAGCUCUUGCCCUUAGGCAUUUGAGUCAUGAGUUGGGCGAGGAGCGGGGUAGCUCUUCACCUAUAAGACUUGAGAUCUGAGUCGGGUAAGAGCGGGGUAGCUCUUUACCUAUAGUGUUAGAGUUGUGGGACGGGUGAAACAAGGGCGGGGUAGUCCUUCACCUAUGUGAUUUGAGACAAGGGCGGGGUAGCCUAGUAGAUUGGGUAAAGACAUGAAUUGCAUAAGUGGAUCCGCAUUCAUACCAUGAUUAGACAUAGUACACUGCAUAACUAUGUUGUAGUUGUAUAUAUUUCAUUGUUAAAGCAUACUAGCAGGAUAAAUGAUGUUGCAUGCAUUCCUUGCAUUUGGUGGCAUAGUAGAUAUAGUAGCAGUUUAUUUCU
rnacentral:lncRNA from 1 species